AGAUUGAACGCUGGCGGCGUGCCUAACACAUGCAAGUCGAGCGGUAACGGGUGUAGCAAUACAUGCUGACGAGCGGCGAACGGGUGAGUAAUGCUUUGGAAUCUUCCCAGUAGUGGGGAAUAACCAGUCGAAAGAUUGGCUAAUACCGCAUACGUCUGAAAAGGGAAAGCGGGGGAUCGCAAGACCUCGCGCUAUUGGAUGAGCCAAAGUCGGAUUAGCUAGUUGGUGGGGUAAUGGCCUACCAAGGCGACAAUCCGUAGCUGGUCUGAGAGGACGACCAGCCACACCGGAACUGAGACACGGUCCGGACUCCUACGGGAGGCAGCAGUGGGGAAUAUUGGACAAUGGGGGAAACCCUGAUCCAGCGACGCCGCGUGUGUGAAGAAGGCCUGCGGGUUGUAAAGCACUUUUAGUGGGGACAAAAGCCAUUGAUUAUACUUGGUGUCUUGAUUUAACCCAAAGAAAAGCACCGGCUAACUCUGUGCCAGCAGCCGC
rnacentral:rRNA from 1 species